AUGCCCCUGAAGAUCAAGAUUUUCGUGUGGCAGCUUCUCAGAGAUCGUUUGCCUUCGGGGACCGAGGUGUUGAAACGCCAUGGUCCGGGCAAUGGCCUUUGCCCCCUUUGCCUCGUCCCGGAAACUGGAACGCACAUUUUGUUCUCGUGCAUAGCAGCACAAGCACUUUGGUGUUUUGUUCGUGAAGCUCUGGAACCGGAAUGGGAGGCCCAUGACCUUGCAGAGUUUCUGUAG
rnacentral:rRNA from 1 species